rnacentral:rRNA from 1 species
GGAGUCUGGGCCGUGUCUCAGUCCCAAUGUGGCCGAUCAACCUCUCAGUCCGGCUACCGAUCGUCGGCAUGGUAGGCCGUUACCCCACCAUCUACCUAAUCGGACGCGAGCCCAUCUCUCAGCGAUAAAUCUUUGGUUAAAGUGUCAUGCGGCACAAUAACGUUAUGCGGUAUUAGCAGCCGUUUCCAACUGUUAUUCCACUCUGAGAGGCAGGUUGCUCACGUGUUACUCACCCGUCCGCUGCUCUCAUGAUUAAUAGCAAGCUAUCAAUCAAUCCCGCUCAACUUGCAUGUGUUAAGCCUGCCGCCAGCGUUCGUUCUGAGCCAGGAUCAAACUACU